rnacentral:rRNA from 1 species
UGGUAAUACCGGAUGCUCCGCUCCAUCGCAUGGUGGGGUGGGAAAUGCUUUUGCGGCAUGGGAUGGGGUCGCGUCCUAUCAGCUUGUUGGCGGGGUGAUGGCCCACCAAGGCGUUGACGGGUAGCCGGCCUGAGAGGGUGACCGGCCACAUUGGGACUGAGAUACGGCCCAGACUCCUACGGGAGGCAGCAGUGGGGAAUAUUGCACAAUGGGCGCAAGCCUGAUGCAGCGACGCCGCGUGCGGGAUGGAGGCCUUCGGGUUGUAAACCGCUUUUGUUCAAGGGCAAGGCACGGUUUCGGCCGUGUUGAGUGGAUUGUUCGAAUAAGCACCGGCUAACUACGUGCCAGCAGCCGCGGUAAUACGUAGGGUGCGAGCGUUAUCCGGAUUUAUUGGGCGUAAAGGGCUCGUAGGCGGUUCGUCGCGUCCGGUGUGAAAGUCCAUCGCCUAACGGUGGAUCUGCGCCGGGUACGGGCGGGCUGGAGUGCGGUAGGGGAGACUGGAAUUCCCGGUGUAACGGUGGAAUGUGUAGAUAUCGGAAAAGAACACCA